GAUGAACGCUGGCGGCGUGCCUAAUACAUGCAAGUCGAGCGAACGGACGAGAAGCUUGCUUCUCUGAUGUUAGCGGCGGACGGGUGAGUAACACGUGGAUAACCUACCUACAAGACUGGGAUAACUUCGGGAAACCGGAGCUAAUACCGGAUAAUAUUUUGAACCGCAUGGUUCAAAAGUGAAAGACGGUCUUGCUGUCACUUAUAGAUGGAUCCGCGCUGCAUUAGCUAGUUGGUAAGGUAACGGCUUACCAAGGCAACGAUGCAUAGCCGACCUGAGAGGGUGAUCGGCCACACUGGAACUGAGACACGGUCCAGACUCCUACGGGAGGCAGCAGUAGGGAAUCUUCCGCAAUGGGCGAAAGCCUGACGGAGCAACGCCGCGUGAGUGAUGAAGGUCUUCGGAUCGUAAAACUCUGUUAUUAGGGAAGAACAUAUGUGUAAGUAACUGUGCACAUCUUGACGGUACCUAAUCAGAAAGCCACGGCUAACUACGUGCCAGCAGCCGCGGUAAUACGUAGGUGGCAAGCGUUAUCCGGAAUUAUUGGGCGUAAAGCGCGCGUAGGCGGUUUUUUAAGUCUGAUGUGAAAGCCCACGGCUCAACCGUGGAGGGUCAUUGGAAACUGGAAAACUUGAGUGCAGAAGAGGAAAGUGGAAUUCCAUGUGUAGCGGUGAAAUGCGCAGAGAUAUGGAGGAACACCAGUGGCGAAGGCGACUUUCUGGUCUGUAACUGACGCUGAUGUGCGAAAGCGUGGGGAUCAAACAGGAUUAGAUACCCUGGUAGUCCACGCCGUAAACGAUGAGUGCUAAGUGUUAGGGGGUUUCCGCCCCUUAGUGCUGCAGCUAACGCAUUAAGCACUCCGCCUGGGGAGUACGACCGCAAGGUUGAAACUCAAAGGAAUUGACGGGGACCCGCACAAGCGGUGGAGCAUGUGGUUUAAUUCGAAGCAACGCGAAGAACCUUACCAAAUCUUGACAUCCUUUGACAACUCUAGAGAUAGAGCCUUCCCCUUCGGGGGACAAAGUGACAGGUGGUGCAUGGUUGUCGUCAGCCCGUGUCGUGAGAUGUUGGGUUAAGUCCCGCAACGAGCGCAACCCUUAAGCUUAGUUGCCAUCAUUAAGUUGGGCACCCUAAGUUGACUGCCGGUGACAAACCGGAGGAAGGUGGGGAUGACGUCAAAUCAUCAUGCCCCUUAUGAUUUGGGCUACACACGUGCUACAAUGGACAAUACAAAGGGCAGCGAAACCGCGAGGUCAAGCAAAUCCCAUAAAGUUGUUCUCAGUUCGGAUUGUAGUCUGCAACUCGACUACAUGAAGCUGGAAUCGCUAGUAAUCGUAGAUCAGCAUGCUACGGUGAAUACGUUCCCGGGUCU
rnacentral:rRNA from 1 species